CCACAUGAUGCAUAUGUAUUCUUUCAUGUUAUAACGGCAAAUUUUGUUUGCCGUCUCACAUUCCACAAUCCAAAUAGCGAUUUGCCCUUUUAUCCUUCGGCUCGUGCCCGGAAACCAGAAAAGGAAAGAAGGAUCGGAGAGGAAGGAGAGAGAAAGGCCGAGGAGGGCGAUGAUGCAGUUCGAGUUGGUGAAGAGAGAGAACCGGGUCCGUGUGUGGGGCGGGGCCCUCUUGCUGUUCGUCUUCGUCAUGGUCGCCACCCCGAGAAUCCCCCACUCCCCCGCCCUCCACCUCUUCGCCGACAUGCGCAACUUCUUGGGAGUUCCCAAUACUCUGAACGUGCUGACGAGCUUUCCCUUCUUGCUGAUCGGCGUGCCUGGCCUCGUCCUCUGCCUCUCCGGCAGCUGUUUCGGCAUCAGCUUAAAAGGGGAGGUCUGGGGCUGGGCAUUGUAUUAUGCUGGGGCAGCGGCGGCUGCUUUUGGAUCUGCUUAUUAUCAUCUGAAGCCGGACGACGAACGGGUUAUUUGGGACCGAUUACCGAUGAUGAUUUCAGCCUCUUCAGUCCUAUCUAACUUACUCAUAGAGCGAUAUGAUGAGCGGAUGGGGAUUACAUGUUUGUUUUCCCUCCUAAUGCUUGUUUUGGUUAGCAUUGCAUGCGAAAGGACCUUUGAUGAUCUUCGUCUCUGCAUGAUGUUCUAUUUUGUUCCAUGUGUUGCAAUUCCUGCAAUGGUAUUCUUGUUCCCACCAAAGUACACCCAUUCAAAAUAUUGGUUCUGGGCAACAGGGUUUUACCUUCUGGCGAGAUUUGUGGCCAUUGCAGAUAAAAGGGUUUACAGUGUAACAAGAUAUGCUAUCAGUGGCCACUCGUUGGAGCACCUUUGUUUAGCAAUGGUUCCUAUGAUGCUUACUCUGAUGCUCUGGUUCAGAAAUAUUAAGAUUGCGAGGGCAGAAGGGAAAGUAUAAGGUCAUAAUAUGAUGUCAGUUCACUGAUCAGGCUGGGAUUGGAGUAAUGGAGGCAUGGCAAUGUUAAAGUUGAUUAAUCACUUUGUCAAUACAAAAGGACUCUUGAAGCAGGUCAAGGCUUUAAGAAGUUAAUUAAAAUGACGUUAGAAUCAUUCAUUGGUGAAGCAGGUGCAGGCGGAGAGAAUAUCCUGCUGGAACACUAUACAAUUUCUUGUUUUUGAAUAGCCAACGAAGAGACAAUUUGACAAAUGUACUAAAACUGAUUCCAAAAAUGAAGUGAUUCGGAACAAUCAAUUGAUAGGAGCUGCUUCGUUGUUCUUUUCUCUGAACUUUGAGAGUAGCAACGAGGGAGAUUGUGGGCUGUUGCAUCUUGAUGUUGUUUGCGGAUAUUUGUUGGAAAGGAGACGAUGCUAAUUUGAAGUAUCGUUUUGCUUAUGCCGGAGAUAUGACUCUCUGGCAAGAUACAGUGCAAUUUAUGCAGCAUUUUGUA